rnacentral:snRNA from 1 species
AUACUUACCUGGCAUAUGAGACACCAUGAUCACUAAGGUGCUUUUCCCAAUGUUAGGCUCACAUUCCAGUGUACUGACCCCUGCAGUUUCCCCAAAUGCAUGAAAUUCAACUGCAUAAUCGGUGGGGGGGACUGUGUUUGCACUCUCACCUC